CUCUCCGGUACAGUAGGUGGCGGCAUGGACCUACAACGCUGGUUUGGUUUCUAGCUGCUAUUAAACGAUUAAGAAGACUGGCUAACAUUAGAACCAGAAUAGCCCCUCCACUAGCUACUACCGGCUACUACUGCCUGUUCUGUCACAUGUAGGAAUCGUGGACGCAAUUAGCUAGCUAACGUUUGGGCUACAAGCACAAAUAACAGGCACUCUGCGGAUAUUUAUCAGCCUAAUAUUUCCUUCGCAGUGACUUUCAGGACUGUGGCAGAUUUUGGAUGGAGUCGGCACCAACGUUUUUAUCAACUUGUGUAGCCGCGGCCAGGGACCUCAGGGUUCGGGAUUCAGGCCAUCCUGUACAGCUGCGAGAGAAGAAUGGUCAAGUAUUUCAGUAAUAACACGGACAUCAGGAGUACGUGGGACCAUGUUGUCUCUGCUUUUUGGCAGAGGUACCCAAACCCAUUCAGCACCCAUGUUCUCACAGAGGACGUUGUGUACCGCGAAGUGACGGCGGACCACCGGCUCCUCUCCAGACGCCUCCUGACGAAGACCAAUCGGCUGCCUCGCUGGGCGGAGCGGCUCUUCCCCACCGGCAUGUCUCGCUUGGUGUACAUCAUCGAGGACUCCAUCGUGGACCCUGUCAAAAGGAGCCUGACCACCUACACCUGGAAUCUCAACCACACAACUCUCAUGUCGGUUGAAGAGCGUUGUAUUUUCCAAGACUCUGUGGAGCAGCCAGCCACCACCAAGCUGAAACGGGAAGCGUGGAUAUCCUCAAAUGUUUAUGGCUUCUCCAGACCUAUUCAGGAGUUUGGAUUGGCCCGAUUCAAAAGUAACCAGGUGAAGGCCAUGAAAGGGCUGGAUUACGCACUGUCCAAUUUACAGGGAGAGACGCCCCAGCGGCUGCUCAGGGACACGGUGAAGGAUGCAUCAGAGAAGGCCAAGGAGGCAGCCAAGAGCCUUGCGUCAGCUGCUACUGUCCCAAAGAAACCGCAGCAGUACGUGUGACAGGACGGUGUGUGUGUGUGUGUGUGUGUGUGUGUGUGGAGCACCGUGCAGGUGACACCAACUCAACACAAUGGCUUUUCAUCAUCUUGACUGGAAUGAAGUUUUCUGGGAACUCGCAGAUUGCUGUUUAUUCUUUGUUUUUCUUCCUUUGGGAGGAAGCAGCCUCUCUUCUUCACAAUUGGACUUUCUGUCUUGGUUAAAUCUCAGGUCCUGAGCUUUUUGUCUGAAACGCCUUUGUGGAAGCAUUUAGAUUGUGACCAGCAGUACCUUUUGAGGCUGUAAUUACUAAAGGGAUAAAUGCCAUUUAGGUAGUUUAUCAAUUUUAAUUUAGUGAGCUUAUUUUCAUGCAGAAUUAUAAAACUCUUCUUGAACAGUUUGGCACUUUGGAAUUCAAGUGAUAUAAUCACUACUAUUACCAUUAUCAUAAUUGGUCCAGACUAAAGUUCACAUUAGACCAAAUCAUAAUACUGUGACUGUUUAGUUUUAACUAAGCUUAAGCUUAUGAUUUGAUGGUUGCACGCAUAUAAAAAAUGAACCUUAUGGUAUCAUGGGUGAUUUCCUCAUGCUUUCUUCCUUAUUUGACAUUUUCUGGGGUUGAAAUUAUACUUCCCACUUUCAAACACAUCAGUACAUAGUCAGGCAUCAUCACAGAAGGAUUAAAAUGACUUUGAAGUGUGAAUACUGCUUUAACUGGAUGACUGUGUAACCGAGGUGCGUCGUUAAGACGGAAUCAUUUCAACCUGCCUGUAGACAUGAAGCUUAUGUAGCCAUGAUGUUAAUAAUUAUUGUAUAGAUUUCAGUGAUUGCAUUCCCUUUUAAAGUUGAUGGAGUUGUCGGUAUUUUUGUUGCUCUAAGACUUGAAUUAUAUUUCAAAAAUAAUAUUAUAUUCAUGUAAUGUCUUUUGAAGGAUUAUUUAGCAUAAAGAAUUUGUAAAAUAGUUUAUAUGUAUGUGUUUUUUAGCCAGGCAGUAAGAUAUGU